GCAAGUCGAGCGCACCUUCGGGUGAGCGGCGGACGGGUUAGUAACGCGUGGGAAUAUACCCUUCACUACGGAAUAGCCUCGGGAAACUGAGAGUAAUACCGUAUACGCCCUUCGGGGGAAAGAUUUAUCGGUGAAGGAUUGGCCCGCGUUUGAUUAGAUAGUUGGUGGGGUAAUGGCCCACCAAGCCGACGAUCCAUAGCUGGUUUGAGAGGAUGAUC
rnacentral:rRNA from 1 species